rnacentral:rRNA from 2 species
CAGCAGCCGCGGUAAAACCAGCACCUCGAGUGGUCAGGAUGAUUAUUGGGCCUAAAGCAUCCGUAGCCGGCUCUGUAAGUUUUCGGUUAAAUCUGUACGCUUAACGUACAGGCUGCCGGGAAUACUGCAAAGCUAGGGAGUGGGAGAAGUAGACGGUACUCGGUAGGAAGUGGUAAAAUGCUUUGAUCUAUCGAUGACCACCUGUGGCGAAGGCGGUCUACUAGAACACGUCCGACGGUGAGGGAUGAAAGCUGGGGGAGCAAACCGGAUUAGAUACCCGGGUAGUCCCAGCUGUAAACUAUGCAAACUCAGUGAUGCAUUGGCUUGUGGCCAAUGCAGUGCUGCAGGGAAGCCGUUAAGUUUGCCGCCUGGGAAGUACGUACGCAAGUAUGAAACUUAAAGGAAUUGGCGGGGGAGCAC